rnacentral:rRNA from 1 species
GGUUGAUCCUGCCAGUAGUCAUAUGCUUGUUUCAACGACUAAGCCAUGCAUGUCUAAGUAUAAGCACUUGUACUGUGAAACUGCGAAUGGCUCAUUAAAUCAGUUAUAAUUUAUUUGAUAGUACCUUACUACUUGGAUAACCGUGGUAAUUCUAGAGCUAAUACAUGCAUCAAAACUGGCCUCUUUGGACAGUUGUAUUUAUUAGAUAAAAAACCAAUGCCCGCAAGGGCCUAGGUGAUUCAUAAUAACUUAUCGGAUCGUAUGGCCUUGCGCCGACGACAUGUCAUUCAAAU